CUUGACGUGACGGAAUUGGUAGACGUGGCUGUCUAGAAAACAGCCGGCAGCAAUGCCAGUGGGGGUUCAAUUCCCCCCGUCAAAA
rnacentral:tRNA from 1 species